UUUGCUAACAGUGAAAAAUAGUCAGAUAUCGGUUGUAGUUGGUGGAGAUUAUGAAGAUUCUUUUCUAUUUGAUUAAAAGGUGUCAUCAACAGCUUAGUUCAUUUGUCUCGAGUCCUGUGUAGUCUAAGUUAAUAACUCCCCUAGUCACUUAAGGAGCAUCUUGGUUAUUCGCAGUCAUGUCAGCUAUCUAAAAUUUCAAAAUAUACUACCUGGAUGUUUUGUUAUGGCUUUCACGGGAGGCACUAUGGAGGACAUCUCUGAUAACUUGGUAAG